rnacentral:RNase_P_RNA from 1 species
UGAGUCGGCCAGGUGGCCGCGGUGCACUCGACGAAGGUUCUCACGCCCGAGUCGUCCUGCGCUGAGGAAGGUCGGGACUCCACAGGACAAGGAGCUGGCUUACAACCAGGCGUCGCGAGACGACGGCAAGUGCAACAGAGAGCAGACCGCCGAUGGACCGGUUCGCCGGUCACAGGCAAGGGUGAAAGGGUGCGGUAAGAGCGCACCGGCGUCCGAGGCGACUCGGGCGGCCAGGCAAACCCCUCCCGGAGCAAGGCCAAGCAGAGGUCGGGCGGUCCGCCCUAUGACCUCGGGUCGGCCGCUCAGAUGGAUGGCCACCCCGCCCGCCUUCGGGCGGACGGACAGAAUCCCGCCUAUCGGCCGGCUCACCGC